rnacentral:rRNA from 1 species
UACGUAGGGUGCGAGCGUUGUCCGGAAUUAUUGGGCGUAAAGGGCUCGUAGGCGGUCUGUUGCGUCAGGAGUGAAAUCUCCGGGCUUAACUCGGAAAGGUCAACUGAUACUGUGCGACUAGAGUGCAGAAGGGGCAACUGGAAUUCUCGGUGUAGCGGUGAAAUGCGUAGAUAUCUGGAGGAACACCGGUGGCGAAGGCGGCAUCCUGGACCAACACUGACGCUGAGGAGCGAAAGCCAGGGGAGCAAACGGG